rnacentral:lncRNA from 1 species
UGCCAUCAUCUGCAGAGUAUUCUUUCCAAUCAGAGGAGGAACUCUGAGAUCUAGAUCUGAAAGAUGCCUUCCAGAAAUGUUCACGAUUUGGUUCGUAAUUUGUUCUAUUCCAAUGUACUUUCUCAUCUUUGUCACGUUUAAACGAACCCUUUCCAUCAUUUUCCUUGCAGAAAGACCAAUAGAAAUCUCGAGGCUUUCGAAAAGCUGAUCUAAAUUUCAUUUCACAUUUAUCUUCGUCUGAAUCACUCCAGAAUAAGGUUUGAGAUCCUUUCUCUGUUUUAACAAAAUAAAUAUAUAGCCAAAUUAUUGACGUCCAAUAUAUGUAACAGACAGACAUGUCAGGAAUUUGAAAG